UCCCUGCUCUGACUGGCACUGGGCUCUCUGACUUGCAGAAGCUGUGGUCAGAUGCCUGGCCAAACCUGGGUCCACAUAAUACCAGCAUUGCAGAGGCAUUUACAGAGGCGUUGAUUAACUCUCAUUGUGAGAUUAGGGCCCACAAAUCUCCUGAGUAUCCAACUCCCAAGUAGAUGAACCCAUAUCAGCUUCGGUCUGUCAGGAGCCACACUGUGCACACCUCCAGCUAGAAAAGCCCUUGGAAGCACUAGGUGGAAUAUCUGUUUUUCUGCAUCAUCUACAGUGCUUCAGAGGACUGGGACUGCUUUUAGUGUGAGAACUCUAAUAUUCCAACAAAUAUGAACACUCUGUGCCCCUUAUUGCCUCUUUGCUUAUCCACUAAUUGGUGAGACUUGCUGCAUUUUCCAUAAAGAUGUUGAAGCAGUUUGGACCUCCAUGGUAACAUUGUCCUGCUUAUCAGCUGUUUGUCCAGUCCUGGAGAAGCAUCAUUGUUGUCCAUCAAAAGGCUGAUCACUUUGAGAGGACAGUAUAAACAAAUUCACUAAGGUUUCAUCUGAGCAAGACAGAGCUGAUGCUGAAGAAGGAAUCUCCAGGAACAUGAAUAUCCUGGGGGGAAGAGAGAUUUCAUUUCUUAGUGAGCAUUUGCCUAUUUUUCCACAAA